rnacentral:rRNA from 1 species
AGCAGCCGCGGUAAUUCCAGCUCCAAUAGCGUAUAUUAAAGUUGUUGCAGUUAAAAAGCUCGUAGUUGAAUUUCGGGAUCAAUUCGUCGGUCGUGCUUUUUGGUACGUACUGGUGUUAUUGGUUUCUCCCUUCUGACGAACCAUGAUGUCAUUAAUUUGGUGUUAUGGGGAGUUAGGACUGUUACUUUGAAAAAAUUAGAGUGUUUAAAGCAGGCAUUAGCUUGAAUACAUUAGCAUGGAAUAAUGAAAUAGGACGUUCGAACCUAUUUUGUGGUUUCUAGGAUCAACGUAAUGAUUAAUAGGGAUAGUUGGGGGCAUUAGUAUUCAAUUGUCAGAGGUGAAAUUCUUGGAUUUAUUGAAGACUAACUACUGCGAAAGCAUUUGCCAAGGAUGUUUUCAUUAAUCAAGAACGAAAGUUAGGGGAUCGAAGACGAUCAGAUACCGUCGUAGUCUUAACCAUAAACUAUGCCGACUAGGGAUCGGAUGAUGUUAAUUUUUUAAUGACUCAUUCGGCGCCUUA